AUUGAACGCUGGCGGCAGGCCUAACACAUGCAAGUCGAACGAGUGGCGGACGGGUGAGUAAUGUCUGGGAAACUGCCCGAUGGAGGGGGAUAACUACUGGAAACGGUAGCUAAUACCGCAUACCAUCGGAUGUGCCCAGAUGGGAUUAGCUAGUAGGUGGGGUAACGGCUCACAUAGGCGACGAUCCCUAGCUGGUCUGAGAGGAUGACCAGCCACCUGGGAACUGAGACACGGUCCAGAGUCCUACGUGAUGCAGCAGUGGGGAAUAUUGCACAAUGGGCGCAAGCCGUAUGCAGCCAUGCCGCGUGUAUGAAGAAGGCCUUCGGGUUGUAAAGUACUUUCAGCGAGGAGGCGUUACUCGCAGAAGAAGCACCGGCUAACUCCGUGCCAGCAGCCGCGGUAAUAC
rnacentral:rRNA from 1 species